AUGCUUUGUAACAGCAUCGGGGUCGUUGCAGGACCCCCUGAUUACAAUAAAGCGAGAAAGAAGAACUCCUGACUUAAAAACAUGAUAUUCCUUCAGUGUAGGAAGCAGCAGUGAGGUUGUAAUAAAGGCUGCAUUCAAGAAGACCCAUCUGAACAGUCUCACUGUGUUGCCCAGGUUGGAGUGCAGUGGCGUAACCUCCCAGGCUCCAUUGAUCUCCCUCCUUAGCCUCCCAGAUAGCUGGGACUACAGAUGGCCCAAGGGGCUAUACAAAGAAAGCUGUUUGCACAGGAUAGAAUUAAGAGCAGCAUGUCAGCAUUCCGUCUGCAGUUGAGAUGUUGAUUCCUCCUUGUAUUGCACAUUGCUGAAAGGGGCUUCCUGAGGCUGGAGAGAGCAGUGAGGCUGGACGUAAAGAAAGAAGUGAUGCACUCAAUUCUGCAAUAGAUAAAAUGACCAAGAAGACCAGGGACUUGCGUAGACAGCUCCGCAAAGCUGUCAUGGACCACGUUUCAGAUUCUUUCCUGGAAACCAAUGUUCCACUUUUGGUAUUGAUUGAAGCUGCAAAGAAUGG
rnacentral:lncRNA from 1 species